GACAACUCAUCACCUUCCUCCCCACUAUUCACAAAUUCAUAAAAAGCAUUAUCCGAUUAUCAUAUUACAAAGCCGCGGAGCGGCAGGGAUUCAAAGCCACACACGGCCAGUCCCAAAAUACAAACAAGGCCAUUCAAGGCCGAAACAUAAAAACAUAAAAAAAAAAAAUCUCUCGCAAGAGAUCUAACCCAAGUCACCCUCAGAACUUACGCCCCCUCUUCACCCGCCGCCUCGUCCGAGCCUGGAGCCGCGUCGCUUCCGUUAUCUCCGAGCAUCGGAUCUUUCCCCUCUGGGUCUUCUGAACACGUCGGAAGGAAGCAAGCGGAUUUUAGGUCGGCCAGGAUGAGACCGAAAUCUCCAUCCUCGGCCGCCAUAUC
rnacentral:lncRNA from 1 species